rnacentral:rRNA from 1 species
UACGUAGGGUGCAAGCGUUGUCCGGAAUUAUUGGGCGUAAAGAGCUCGUAGGCGGUUUGUCGCGUCUGCUGUGAAAACUCGGGGCUUAACCCCGGGCCUGCGGUGGGUACGGGCAGACUAGAGUGUGGUAGGGGAGACUGGAAUUCCUGGUGUAGCGGUGAAAUGCGCAGAUAUCAGGAGGAACACCGAUGGCGAAGGCAGGUCUCUGGGCCACAACUGACGCUGAGGCGCGAAAGCUAGGGGAGCAAACAGG